AACACCCACAAACAACGUCACGACGCAACGUGGUUAAACAGUACGUUUAUUAAAGUAACUGGGUGAACGACAUCGGAGCGGACUGCAAAUCGCAACGCUACUUUCUCGAGUGCAGAUACUCUUCGAGACGGCUAAACAACGUGUCCAACUCGCUGAGACCUUUCCGCGUGCCGUUAUCCGAUUUCCUUUCCGCCUCCUGAGACAGCCGACUAAUCACGGACUUAUCUCCGCAACCUAACAGAGGCUGGGAGCCCGACAAAAGUAAAACAGCGUGCUAUGAACACGUUGUUACCUCUGCGCGGACAGCGCCGCCACAGAGACACUUACGCAUUGCCGCAUGUCUUUGUAGAUGGAUUCUAGCGUCGAGCGCAUACUAUGCAAUUCCGUCUUAAGUCCAGGAUAGACGUGGUCGCCUGCGGGGAACACGAUCUCCAGAUACCGCCUCAACAACCAGUCCAUGACGCUGCAUCCCCAACAGCCUUUGACCACCGUACCGUCGAGCCACACGGAGUAGUCGUCCUCACGUUGCUACAAGAGGAAAACUACGUCACUCGACACGCGGAAAAGAAAGACCGUCGCAAUAAACCGUACCUACGUGACCUACCAACGUAGGUUUUACUCGAUGAAAGGUGACGCGGAGAUCUUGCAAUCUGGUCGCGUAAUCCUCCGGACGACACUGCGGCUUUGUAUUCUUUAUCGUCGUCGUCGUCGUCGUCGCCGCCGGCUUCGCCUCCUCGGAAGCGCCUAGAAAAAAGACGAUCAGGACCAGAGAGGAAGAGACCAUCACCGACAGCAUCGCCGCAGCAUGCCGCCCCAAUCCGCCGCCCAACUGCGCGUCCCAGAUACCACUCGUAGACUGUCAGCCUCGCGAGGAGACACCGCGGACCGGGGAAACGGAUAAGUUUACGAACAGAAAUCUCAAGAGAAAGACGCUGACCCGGCAAGUACCGUCACGGAGACACGGUGGUUUUUAUUGAAUUUCCAGUGUAUCGAGCCACCGUGAUGCAGGUACGGUGGUUUUAUGUGAAGUGCCGCUAUCUAUAGGCGAUGUGUUCCCUGACGGUGUGUGUUUUUUGGGGAUAGACAACGUGGUUCUUGUACGUGGUUUUUACCCUGCUCAAUAAAGUCACGUUUUCCUUACACGGUGUUGUGUC
rnacentral:lncRNA from 1 species